GAUGAACGCUGGCGGCGUGCCUAAUACAUGCAAGUCGAGCGAACAGACGAGGAGGUUGCUCCGCUGACGUUAGCGGCGGACGGGUGAGUAACACGUUGAGAACCUACCUAUAAGACUGGGAUAACUUCGUGAAACCAGUACUAAUACCGGAUAACAUGUUGAUCCGCUUGUUUCAAAAGUGAAAGACGGUCGUGCUGUCACUUAUAGAUGAAUCAGCGCCUCAUUAGCUAGUUGGUAAGGUAACGGCUUACCAAGGGAACGAUGCGUAGCCGACCUGAGAGGGUGAUCGGCCACACUGGAACUGAGACACGGUCCAGACUCCUACGGGAGGCAGCAGUAGGGAAUCUUCCGCAAUGGGCGAAAGCCUGACGGAGCAACGCCGCGUGAGUGAUGAAGGUCUUCGGAUCGUAAAACUCUGUUAUUAGGGAAGAACAAAUGUGUAAGUAACUAUGCACGUCUUGACGGUACCUAAUCAGAAAGCCACGGCUAACUACGUG
rnacentral:rRNA from 1 species